GAUGAACGCUCGCUACAGGCUUAACACAUGCAAGUCGAGGGGCAGCAUGGUCUUAGCUUGCUAAGGCCGAUGGCGACCGGCGCACGGGUGAGUAACACGUAUCCAACCUGCCGUCUACUCUUGGACAGCCUUCUGAAAGGAAGAUUAAUACAAGAUGGCAUCAUGAGUCCGCAUGUUCACAUGAUUAAAGGUAUUCCGGUAGACGAUGGGGAUGCGUUCCAUUAGAUAGUAGGCGGGGUAACGGCCCACCUAGUCUUCGAUGGAUAGGGGUUCUGAGAGGAAGGUCCCCCACAUUGGAACUGAGACACGGUCCAAACUCCUACGGGAGGCAGCAGUGAGGAAUAUUGGUCAAUGGGCGAGAGCCUGAACCAGCCAAGUAGCGUGAAGGAUGACUGCCCUAUGGGUUGUAAACUUCUUUUAUAAAGGAAUAAAGUCGGGUAUGGAUACCCGUUUGCAUGUACUUUAUGAAUAAGGAUCGGCUAACACCGUG
rnacentral:rRNA from 1 species